rnacentral:lncRNA from 1 species
CACCAAUCAGUGCUCUGUAAAAUGCACCAAUCAGCAGGAUCCUAAAAGUAGCCAAUCACAGGGAGAAUUGGAAAAAGGGCAUUAUGAUAGGACAGAAAGGGAACAUGGGCAGGGACAAAUAAGGGAAUAAAAGCUGGCCACCCCAGCCAGCAGUGGUAACCGGUUUGGGUCCUUUUUCGCAAUGUGGAGUCUUCGUCCUUUUGCUCUUCCCAAAAAACCUUGCUGCCUCUUACUUUUUGGGUCUGUGCCAUCUUUAAGAGCUGUAACACUCACCGUGAAGGUCCGUGGCUUCAUUGAUGAAGUCAGUGAGAAUCAUGAAGUCAGCCAGAGUACUGCCCUGGAGGGAAUCGACUGCCAGUUUAAGGAGUCAUUGUCCAGUUCAGACUCCAGAAUACGAAACGUAGAAACUGACAGGAAAUGACCAAGUAUAAAUUGCAACUUGUAAAGAAUCAUCUUAAAUCCUGGCACUGCGUUCAAGGGGGAGUUUGAGCAAGGAAUGUUGCUAAAACGGCUAAAACCAGGAACUCAGAAUAUCGUUCUACAAUAGAACCUAAAAACUGUUUCCAACCCAUCACGACAUCACCCUGAAAAAUGAGUGAGCAGUCACUGAGGCUUCCCAAGUUUGAAAAUUCCACAAGACUGAGAGCAAAUGUUUUGUUGAAACUGAAGUCAAGAUGAAGUCAGCUGACUCUCAAACCUCAGGUGAAGUGACUCAGGGCCCACACCCCGGUUCUGAGGCAGGGACACAUUUUACUUGCAGCACCCUGCAGCUUUGGAUGAGGCUGCAACCCGGGUGAAUCCUGGCCCUGCUAUCACGUGGGCAGCCACUGCAUCCUCCGGAGGCUGUGGAUGGGAGUCACCAUGCUGGGAGGUCUGGAGUAAGAUCUGUGCCAUCUGCCUUGCCCAAUCCUGUACCAGUGCCUGUGUUUCAAAAUCUCAAAAUAAAAGUGAUUAUUCUUGCAACACAUCUAGGUGUACUAAACGAAUACAAAAAAGCCUUCGAUUAUUGCUGCACACAUCAUUACAAGAUGAAAUAGGAGGGAAAAAUAAGCUUUAAAAAUACAUUUAAG